rnacentral:lncRNA from 1 species
AGAGAAGAGACUGUGAUCUAUGUUCCCGUUGCUGAGGUCAAGGAGAAGGCAUGACACGAUCAUGACUGCUGUAUUUUCUUUCCCUUUAUACGAAUUUAGAAGGAUCCAGCUUCCCAUAAUCCUCGAGAUCGUUGCACCACAUGAGCUACACCUGAUGUGGGGAAGACGCAAGUCAUGAGAAAUACAAAAUCUGAAACUUCAGCGAAAUGAGAGCAGUUAGGGACUAAUAUUCUUUCUUCAAACUGUGAUGUCACUGCAAGCAACAAAGAAAACUAACAAGAAGGAAAAUGUUGG